AUAAAUACAACCCCUGUAGAACUUAUGUUGGUACUCGCUGUUGCAGCUGUGGAUUGUUUCUUAAAAAAUAAUUCUGCAAUCAGUGACUUGUUUCCUGCACUGUCAAAUAAUGCAGAGACACUUGUUUCGUAUAGACUUUCACAGACAUUUUUGUACUGUAGGCUUAGACUGUUGCAUUUUCUGUAGCUUAAUUUGUUCAUCAUGUACUUCUAGAAACCAGAUGUGACGGCAAUGCGCACCAUUGUACCCGGAGGCCUCCCUGUUCUAUUUGGUGAUGACCCCAGUGAAUUCUACAACACCUGCUUCGAUUGUGACACUGAUGAGACGUGGGCAGAAGUGUCCGUUGGGUUGCAGGCUGUUGUCCGCGAAGAUGUGCGACUCACUCCAAAUCAGCCCCACCUUCACCCAGUGUCUACUGCCAUCAUUGUUGAGGGAGGUAUUGUAAUGGCUGAUCUCCAGAACCUACCUGAGGCACUUUGCCUCUUGUUUGGACUGUCAUAUGCAUUACAUCAUGUUGUAUGGUCAAUAUCAUAGAGUUAACUCCCUGAUAUUCCAACGUUAAAGUGUUUUGAUGUCAUUAAAGGCAAUUGAUCUAAUUAAACUUUUAA